GACAGAGGUGGCAAGCGUUGUUCGGAAUCACUGGGCUUAAAGGGCGCGUAGGUGGUAGUGUAAGUCUGAGGUGGAAUCCUGCGGCUUAACCGCAGAACUGCCUUGGAAACUGCAUUACUUGAGUCAGUGAGGGGAGGGUAGAAUUCCCGGUGUAGCGGUGAAAUGCGUAGAUAUCGGGAGGAAGGCCUGUGGCGAAGGCGGCCCUCUGGCGCUGGACUGACACUGAGGCGCGAAAGCGUGGGGAGCAAACAGG
rnacentral:rRNA from 1 species